UACAGAGGGAGCAAGCGUUAUCCGGAAUGAUUGGGCGUAAAGCGUCUGUAGGUGGUUUAGAAAGUCUACUGUCAAAUACCAAGGCUCAACCUUGGGCAGGCAGUAGAGUACUUUUAGACUAGAGUGUGGUAGAGGUAGAGGGAAUCCCUAGCGUAACAGUGAAAUGUGUAGAUUUUAGGGAGAACACCAGCGGCGAAGGCGCUCUACUGGGCCAAGACUGACACUGAGAGGACGAAAGCUAGGGGAGCGAAUAGG
rnacentral:rRNA from 1 species